CUCCAUGACACCGAGCUCCAGCCGCCCAUUCUCUGCACCGAGCACUGCACAGCCAUCUGCACGGAGACCACCCACAGGCUUCAUCAUGGAGCGUGCUGCCACCUGGCUGCCGUCCACAGCUAUUACAUAGCUGUACUCACUAUUUUGCUGGAGGAGUCACAAGGAGGGUGAGAGAGCCUGCUACGAUAACACAGAUUUGGAGUUGUUAAGAUAAUAACAUGCAAGGCUUCCAGUAGGAUUCAGGUUUCUCCAGCUCUGUGGCUACCUUGUCUGAAGAACACUGACAGAAUAAAGGCCAUUAUAAAUUAACUAUUGCAGUCUGAUGAAAAAAUCCCGGCAGCACAGCAAAUUAUAAAGUUCCUGGUGAAGAAUUUUGUUUUAUUUAUAUACCAUUAAA